AAAUAAGCUACUACGAAUGUGUGCACUGUGUUUGACUGUGCAUGUAGCCAUGUGUAUGUGUAACAGUGUAUACUGUUUGAAUGAGUGUGUAUAUAGCAGUAUGUGCAUACUGUGUAGUGUGCCAUCUAUAACAGAGGUGGAUAUUCUAGCUCCAUAUUUCUCAACAUUCUCCCAGAAUCCAGUCAGAGAAAAAUAAUGGCUUUUGCAUUACUGGUAUUUUUUACAAUACUAAAAUAUUGGUUGUGCCAGUAAGACCCUACCUAUCUCCCC